UGCUCACUAAUGCUUGAUUAUUUUAUAACUUUCAGGAAUUGUGUUGAAGAACUUCAUCACCCACCUGGUAUCCGCCAAGACAUAGCCCUUAGUGGAAUGAACUAUGGUCUCCUAAAGGCGGUUUCGUUUCAUGGGUCUGUGGAUCUGAGAGAAACAGGCGAUUGGCCCUCUCCCACGCAAGGAGAAGCAGCAAUGGACUGGGGCCUGCACCUGGGCAGGUGCACGUGGAGCUGGACGAUCCUGUGACAUC
rnacentral:lncRNA from 1 species